rnacentral:rRNA from 1 species
AGAGUCUGAUCCUGGCUCAGGAUGAACGCUAGCGACAGGCUUAACACAUGCAAGUCGAGGGGCAGCGGGGGUGAUGGCUUGCCAUCACCUGCCGGCGACCGGCGCACGGGUGAGUAACACGUAUGCAACCUGCCCGCCACAGGGGGAUAAGCGGAAGAAAUUCCGUCUAAUACCGCGUGACGCGGCGUCGGGGCAUCCCGGUGCCGCCAAAGGGAUUACCGGUGGCGGAUGGGCAUGCGGCGCAUUAGCUAGUCGGCGGGGUAACGGCCCACCGAGGCGACGAUGCGUAGGGGUUCUGAGAGGAAGGUCCCCCACACUGGUACUGAGACACGGACCAGACUCCUACGGGAGGCAGCAGUGAGGAAUAUUGGUCAAUGGGCGGGAGCCUGAACCAGCCAAGUCGCGUGAGGGAUGACGGUCCUACGGAUUGUAAACCUCUUUUGCCGGGGAGCAAGCGUGCGUUCGUGAACGCGCGUCGAGAGUACCCGGAGAAAAAGCAUCGGCUAACUCCGUGCCAGCAGCCGCGGUAAUACGGAGGAUGCGAGCGUUAUCCGGAUUUAUUGGGUUUAAAGGGUGCGUAGGCGGGAUGCCAAGUCAGCGGUAAAAAAGGGUGGUCCACGCCGUCGAGCCCGUUGAAACUGGGGUUUUUGAGUGGGCGAGGAAGUAUGCGGAAUGCGUGGGGUUAGCGGUGAAAUGCAUAGAUAUCACGCAGAAACUCCGAUUGCGAAGGCAGCAUACCGGCGCCCUACUGACGCUGAGGCACGAAAGCGUGGGUAUCGAAACAGGAUUAGAUACCCUGGUAGUCCACGCAGUAAACGAUGAAUGCUAACUGUCCGGUGCGAGUGAGCACUGGGCGGUACAGCGAAAGCGUUAAGCAUUCCACCUGGGGAGUACGCCGGCAACGGUGAAACUCAAAGGAAUUGACGGGGGCCCGCACAAGCGGAGGAACAUGUGGUUUAAUUCGAUGAUACGCGAGGAACCUUACCCGGGCUCAAACGCAGGAUGACGGGUCCCGAAAGGGGCCUUUCUUCGGACAUUCUGCGAGGUGCUGCAUGGUUGUCGUCAGCUCGUGCCGUGAGGUGUCGGCUUAAGUGCCAUAACGAGCGCAACCCCUGUCCACAGUUGCCAGCAGGUAAAGCUGGGGACUCUGUGGAGACUGCCGGCGCAAGCUGCGAGGAAGGCGGGGAUGACGUCAAAUCAGCACGGCCCUUACGUCCGGGGCGACACACGUGUUACAAUGGCAGGUACAGCGGGAUGCCACGGGGCGACCCGGCGCUGAACCCGAAAACCUGUCUCAGUUCGGAUUGGAGUCUGCAACCCGACUCCAUGAAGCUGGAUUCGCUAGUAAUCGCGCAUCAGCCACGGCGCGGUGAAUACGUUAAAGGGCCUUGCACACACCGCCCGUCA